rnacentral:rRNA from 1 species
UACGAAGGGUGCAAACGUUGCUCGGAAUUACUGGGCGUAAAGGGCGCGUAGGCGGAAUGGCAAGUCGGUCGUGAAAUCCUUCGGCUCAACCGAAGAACGUCGAUCGAAACUGCCGUUCUUGAGGAUUGCAGAGGAGACUGGAAUUCCCGGUGUAGCGGUGAAAUGUGUAGAGAUCGGGAGGAACACCGGUGGCGAAGGCGGGUCUCUGGGCAAUUCCUGACGCUGAGGCGCGAAAGCGUGGGGAGCAAACGGG